CUUAAAGGAAUUGACGGGACCGCACAGCGGUGAUGAUGUGGUUAAUUCGAUGCAACGCGAAAACCUUACCCACCUUUGACAUGUACGGAAUCCUUUAGAGAUAGAGGAGUGCUCGAAAGAGAGCCGUAACACAGGUGCUGCAUGGCUGUCGUCAGCUCGUGUCGUGAGAUGUUGGGUUAAGUCCCGCAACGAGCGCAACCCUUGUCAUUAGUUGCUACAUUCAGUUGGGCACUCUAAUGAGACUGCCGGUGACAAACCGGAGGAAGGUGGGGAUGACGUCAAGUCCUCAUGGCCCUUAUAGGUGGGGCUACACACGUCAUACAAUGGAUGGUACAAAGGGUCGCCAACCCGCGAGGGGGAGCCAAUCCCAUAAAGCCAUUCGUAGUCCGGAUCGCAGUCUGCAACUCGACUGCGUGAAGUCGGAAUCGCUAGUAAUCGUGGAUCAGAAUGUCACGGUGAAUACGUUCCCGGGUCUU
rnacentral:rRNA from 1 species